GGGCGCAGGGUGAGGGAGGCAGUCGCCGGCGGUGGCGCCGCUCUGCCGCUGCAUCUCUCUUCCCCCACGUCCCUACUGCUGCUCCUCUAACUCCAUCUCUCUGCUGUCGAUUCUCUGCCCGCUGCUACCUCUCCUCUCUGCUCCUUGCUGCCUGUGACUGUCCCAUCUCUCCUAGCGCUGCUGCUGCUGCUGCAUUUCUUCUGAAGCUCUUCUCAAACCCGUUGAUGCAGUUCUUCUCUGAACUCCAACAUGUUGCUGCUUCUCUCUCUCUCUCUCUCUCUCUCUCUCUCUAUUUUUCUGUAAUUUUGUGAACCACAAACCAUUUUUGUGCCAUUAUAUGAUUUGUGGUAUUUGCUUGAGUGAACCUGUAAGGUUUGUACCUUCUGGAAAGUGCUAGCACCUACAUAUUAUCCAAUUUUUUCUAAAUGUCAUGAGGCAUGAGCCACAAUAUUUCUCAAGAACGACCGUUGGUAUAUAUAAGGCAUGCAUACAAUUUUAAUAACACUCUUUUUGCUCUCAUUUAUCUGUUGGCAUAGAGCAUCGUAUAAUAUAGAAGAGUCAUUCAAACAUAGCUCUUUGAAUAUCGGACAAAAUAUUGGUUGCCUGAUUUAUUUAUAAGAAGAUUCUUCUAUGUAUUUAGUUACAUGAUUUUAAUUUGAUCGUCUUCUUUCAACUUUUUUUUGCCAAGUAUGAUAUUUCCUUAGGUUCACCUUGACCUUCACUGCUCUUGUGUAAGAGCUUAAGUAAAUUGAUGUUGUAUCAUCAGAAUCUGUAGCCUUGCAUAGUUUUUUUUUUGUCUGUACAUACACUUUAAUUUCUUGCUCGCACUGAAAUCCCUCUUUGUCACAGGAUGAAUCAGAAACUGAAGAUGAUGAUCCCAUGGAUACAGAAGAAGCUUCCUCUGUCCCAUCGCUGCACUGCAGUCUUUCAGCCAAGCUCUGGUGAACUUUGAAAUCCAGUUUAGAGAAUUGCUCAUGACUUGACAGAAAUCAUUCUUAUGAGCACAUCGUUUGAUUCUAUUACUAGGUCAGUCAACUUGAACUACCAUGUGGAAGUGGAACUAUUGUUGUCUGUCAGUUAAGACAGUCGGGAACUUGGUGUUGUCAUUCCUGGCUAUUGUAUUAGGAUACUAGCAGCACUUACAUGCAGAUAUGCUUGUGAUUCUAAAGAUAGUACACAAGGUGAUUGAUGUGUGGGUCGCUCAAGUCCUGUGGGGUGCUGGGCUAAAGGUGUUCCAUAUACAUGAACCAUAAACUGGAAUUGAAAUUAUUCUCCGCACACACAAGUAAAACCUAUGCAAAGUGAACAAUCUCACAGUUGCAGCUUAUAUUCAGUACUUCUUCAUUACAAAUGUCGAUUUCAAAGCAUUUUCUUUCUCUAAUUCUGCAACUUUAUAAACUGCAGCUCAGUUUUGCUCACAAAUGUUUUGCUCCUCAUAAAACUAAUUUUCUACUAACUGAUUUCCGUAUUUCCAUUAUAGUUUAUUCAUUACCAUGUUCAAGGAAUUAUCAGCGUUUUUUCUGACUUGGUCAACUUACCCUUGCAGUAAUUUAGCAGUUGAGAUCAAGAUGCUACUCCAAUCUAUAUAUGAAACCAAAUCAGGUGGGCUUGAUGACAAAGAGGUAAUAAGAGAUGAACUCUUCCAGUAUAAAAAGUUGAUGGUCCUAAUUAGUUUAUAGCUUAUUCCUUGAUCACUUUAAUUUACACGACGUCUCCAGGGCCUUUUGUGUUCUUUGGUAAUAUAUUUGAUUAUAGUCACAGCUUACGCAAGAUGAUUAUUUACGUUCCUAAUUUAUCUUCCUCUAUCAUGGUGGUAGGGAAACAUCGCCGUUAGUUUGCCUGAGAUAGAAGGACUUCACAUAAUUUUGUCAAUAGCAUUGAUCAGGACUUUUUUCUUAUUCUUUUCUAUUUGUAGACAAGGAAGAACCAUAGAGAAUCUCGAUCCUUACACUAUAGCAGUACCUGAAGCAGAGCAAACCGCUGUCUCAAAUUUAAUAGUAGAUGGAAAGGAAUGGUUGUUUUUGUUGCAGGUUACUCCAAGAACAAGUGCAUUGUCAAGCUAGAUGUUUUAUAUUAUCCGUCCAUAAUCUGGAUGCUUGUGUAUCCUGCGACUUGGUUCAUCCAGGAGGUAUUUGUGUUCAAACACAAGUGUGGGCUGCUUGCAGGGUAGAGCAUAAUUGGAUUUUAAAGCCAUUUAUAAUGUCCUGCAAAACUAUAAGUUUGAACAAAGGUACAUUAAGUUGUGUCACUCACAUGGACAGUGUUGCCAUCUAUAAUGCCUUACAAGUCUGAGCUCCAUCAUGAUAAUCUGAUUAGUGUGUCGCAAGUCUGCUAUUUCUAACUGUACAAAUUCUGCACUUAUUUAGCAUUUUACAUGAUGCGUAGAUUUUUCAGAACAGAAAUAAGUCAAUCCUUAUAACCUGAUUUUGCUAUAUUAUUUAGUUCGAAGUUACUUUGUAAAUCCCAGUUUCCCCAGUAUUGUAACUCUGUGUCAAAUUAAACUGAUAUUUCUCUUGUGAACAACUUCAAUUUGUAAUAUCAUGAUUUUCUUUUUCAGAAACCACUUCAACUAGCCUAGGGCUAUGUCUAUUAGUCCUCCAGUAUUUCUUGGAAUGAGAUAACACAUGUUUCUUCAAGUGUCUACACACUACAUGAAUUGUAGGGUUGUACUUUGCCACUCAUAUUGCAGUACUCAACUGUAGCAUGGAUGGAGCAGGAAAGUGUGCUAAACCUUCUAACAUGGACACUGCACUUGUACGAGCUACGGGCCACUAUUGUUUGUCAUAUGGAUUGUAGAUGUAGUGGUAAUGUACCACAUUUUUCAUGUAGUAAGGAUGAUACGUUAUACGGAGUAUAACAGUAUGGUUGCCGUGA